AAACUUUAACGAGUAAAAACUUUUGGCAACGGAUCUCUUGGCUCUGGCAUCGAUGAAGAACGCAGCGAAAUGCGAUACGUAGUGUGAAUUGCAGAAUUCAGUGAACCAUCGAAUCUUUGAACGCACCUUGCGGCCGCCGGUAAUCCGGCGGCCAUGCCCGUCCGAGCGUCGUUU
rnacentral:rRNA from 1 species